rnacentral:tRNA from 1 species
UCCAAGGGAUAGCUCAGUGGUAGAGCAUUCGACUGCAGAUCGAGGGGUUCCCGGUUCAAACCGGGAGUCUUCUUCUUCAGGGAA